CGAUUGUUCUUAUAUAAAAUACGUUUGUUCUCUUUCGAAAUUACUCAUUUUUUGUUUAAUUAAUUGUAUUAGUUGAAUAAAUGUAUACAAAAUAUGUGUACUGCGCAUGCCAUAAGUGUAUAUUCUAUGGCGCAUGCGUCAACUAUAAUGCCUAAACUUUCUACGCGGUUUUAAUCGUGAAAAAAAAACAAUUAUAAAUCCUGAAGGAUCAAUUAAUUGGUAUACAGUUUAAUUCAAAAAAUUAAAAAAUAAAUAAAUAAAAUAAUGUGCAUUCGCGUAAAGUUAGCCCAAAUACAUUUUUUCCAUCCUCCUAUAUACCUAUCGCUAUGAAGGUAUAAAAAAGAUAGGUUAAGAGUUCACAUAGGUUAUGUAUUGAAAUUGUUGGAAAAUUAUUUCAUAUUUUAGCUGGAAAACGACAUGGAGAAUUAUAUGCAAUACAAGAUAAUGAGCUCCAUCAAAUGAAUUCGAAUGAAACCAAACUGUUUACCAUCCAAAUUCGAUUGUCGGGCAGAUAGAAAACGAAAAUUCACUCAUAGUGAACCUCGGCCUGCAUUUGUGAAACGGCAAAGACUCACUAUUAUCAAGGAAAUUGAAGAGACGACUAAAAAUGAGAUGUGUCGUAUUAUUAUACCUUUGCCAUCUUGUAGUCAAGAUGUCCAGCCACUUGAAAAUAGGUGUAGUAAUGACAAAGCCAUCCAAGUAGCUCCAGCACAGGAACACAAAGGCAAGGCAAGUGUAUAUUGCCACAUCACCCCUUAAUAUAUCUGAAGCAAGUAUAAGUAAACAAUCAGAACCAGCAAAAAAAAAACUGUUGUUCCUGAGGACAAAUUUGACAGUGAUGAGUCAAAUGCACCAGCAACAGAAGGAUCAACUGUUGACUAUGGGUUAUAGAAGAAGAAGAUUAAUUCAUAUUUAUUUAAAUUAAUAUUAAUGAAUAUUAAUUUUAAUUAUCGUGCAAAAUUUGUGGUCAAAACAUAUGUAUUUUAUAAAUAAAUAUUCAUUCUCAGUAUUAAUGUUGUUUUAAUCAUCGAUUGAAAAAUUGGUUCUUAAUGAAUUUAGUUGGAGCUAAAUGCUGCUUGGAGCUUAAUACUUUCGAAUAAUAUAAACACGUGACUUUAUGCAUAAACAUAUUUUUUAGGUAAAUACUUUAUUUAGCUUUGCUGGAUUUAUCCAAGAUUUCGACAUACCAAAAUUUCAUACAGGAACGACAGAUAGAUAGCUAUCUGAUUGAAUACCCUUGUAGAAUUGAGCUUCGAAGAAAAGUUUAUUCUUAUUCUUUAUUAGACUUUAUUCUAGUUGCAGUGUCGGUUAGAGAAGCUGUGCAAGCUUCUCUAACCGAUACUGCAUGGAAUAAAUAGUCAUUAUAAUUAUAAAAUAUAUUUCUGUUUACAUACCAUACAAUUUUCAUAGUUCAAAUAUGAAUUUGGAUUGAUAUGAAUUUAUUUCGAUUAUCAAAAUAAUUUGUAUUAAACAUUUAUAUUUCCUCAAAAUUUCUAUUUUUAUAAUAAUGACUGUGACCACCCCAUAAAUCACAAAAUUAAAAAUAUUAAAGAUAACUUAUUUUUAAAUCAUAUAUUAAAAAUUAUAAACAGAUCGCGAAUUAAAAUAUUAUAUUAUGCCUAUCAUUCUUAAAUAAUUCAGUAAUGAAUUUUCGCAUCGCCGCGCCGUAUAUAAUUAAUAUGAAUAAUAGGGUAUUGCCCACUGUGCUAAAAAAACAUAAAUUAUGUUUUUUUGAUAGAUCUACAAACAAGCAAGUGAGUAAUGCUAUGUUUCCAUAAAUAAAAAGGCAAAAAAAAAUUAAAGAAAGAUAUUAUGCACAAGUUCAAAUGCAUAUGUAUUGUGCUAAAAGUAAAACUUGCUACUUUUGUGUAGCAUCCAGCAACUUUGAAAAAAAUAAUCAGGUCACUAUAAUUAGUAGGUAUUGAUUUUGAUUCCGAGUAAGUUGCACAGUUGUUAGAUAAUGUAGUUUCUUUUUGGAAGAAUAACAAUUUUCUAAUAUUACACAAAAAUGUAAUGUUAAAUAUUUUAAAAAAACUUUAUACCUAUUUUCCUUUUAGGGAGUACAAAAUAUUGAUGUGUACAAAAUGAAUGUGAUUUAAUAAAAAUAAUAUUUCAAUUUAAAUUAUGUUUUAUUAAAAAUUAUUCUUAACAUACAGGUACAAAGGUUACAUAACAUUAAUAUUUAUUCCUUUUCAUAUAUAUAAGCCCAUAUUUAGCACAUUUGUGGAAAACAGAAUCAAAAUAAUAAUGAG